GAUGAAGAACGCAGCAAAAUGCGAUAAGUAAUGUGAAUUGCAGAAUUCAGUGAAUCAUCGAAUCUUUGAACGCACAUUGCGCCCGCUGGUAUUCCGGCGGGCAUGCCUGUUCGAGCGUCAUUUCAACCCUCAAGCCCCCGGGUUUGGUGUUGGGGAUCGGCUCUGCCCUUCUGGGCGGUGCCGCCCCCGAAAUACAUUGGCGGUCUCGCUGCAGCCUCCAUUGCGUAGUAGCUAACACCUCGCAACUGGAACGCGGCGCGGCCAUGCCGUAAAACCCCAACUUCUGAAUGUUGACCUCGGAUCAGGUAGGAAUACCCGCUGAACUUAAGCAUAUCUAAGCGGAGGA
rnacentral:misc_RNA from 1 species